rnacentral:rRNA from 1 species
AACGCUGGCGGCGUGCCUAAUAACAUGCAAGUCGAACGCUUCUUUCCUCCCGAGUGCUUGCACUCAAUUGGAAAGAGGAGUGGCGGACGGGUGAGUAACACGUGGGUAACCUACCCAUCAGAGGGGGAUAACACUUGGAAACAGGUGCUAAUACCGCAUAACAGUUUAUGCCGCAUGGCAUAAGAGUGAAAGGCGCUUUCGGGUGUCGCUGAUGGAUGGACCCGCGGUGCAUUAGCUAGUUGGUGAGGUAACGGCUCACCAAGGCCACGAUGCAUAGCCGACCUGAGAGGGUGAUCGGCC